rnacentral:rRNA from 1 species
GACAGAGGGUGCAAACGUUGCUCGGAAUCACUGGGCGUAAAGGGCGUGUAGGCGGGUAGGCAAGUCGGGCGUGAAAUCCCUGAGCUCAACUCAGGAACUGCACUCGAAACUGCUUAUCUUGAGUGCCGGAGAGGAAAGCGGAAUACCUGGUGUAGAGGUGAAAUUCGUAGAUAUCAGGUGGAACACCAGUGGCGAAGGCGGCUU